rnacentral:rRNA from 1 species
AGAGGGUGCAAGCGUUAUUCGGAAUCACUGGGCGUAAAGCGCAUGUAGGUGGGAAUACCAAGUCAGAUGUGAAAGCCCGAGGCUUAACUUCGGAAUUGCAUUUGAAACUGGUAUUCUUGAGUUUGGGAGAGGAAGGUGGAAUUCCAGGUGUAGAGGUGAAAUUCGUAGAUAUCUGGAGGAACAUCGGAGGCGAAGGCGGCUUUCUGGCCCAAUACUGACACUUAGAUGCGAGAGCGUGGGGAGCAAACGGGAUUAGAUACCCUGGUAGUCCACGCUGUAAACGAUGUUAACUAGCUGUUUGAGGUAUUGACCCCUUGAGUGGCGCAGCAAACGCAAUAAGUUAACCGCCUGGGGAGUACGGUCGCAAGAUUA